AAAGCGCUCGCAGGCGGUCUUUUAAGUCUGAUGUGAAAGCCCACGGCUUAACCGUGGAGGGUCAUUGGAAACUGGAGGACUUGAGUACAGAAGAGAAGAGUGGAAUUCCACGUGUAGCGGUGAAAUGCGUAGAGAUGUGAAGGAACACCAGUGGCGAAGGCGACUCUCUGGUCUGUAACUGACGCUGAGGAGCGAAAGCGUGGGGAGCGAACAGGAUUAGAUACCCUGGUAGUCCACGCCGUAAACGAUGAGUGCUAGGUGUUAGGGGGUUUCCGCCCCUUAGUGCUGAAGUUAACGCAUUAAGCACUCCGCCUGGGGAGUACGGCCGCAAGGCUGAAACUCAAAAGAAUUGACGGGGGCCCGCACAAGCGGUGGAGCAUGUGGUUUAAUUCGAAGCAACGCGAAGAACCUUACCAGGUCUUGACAUCCUCUGACAGCGAUAGAGAUAUCGUGUUCCCUUCGGGGACAGAGUGACAGGUGGUGCAUGGUUGUCGUCAGCUCGUGUCGCGAGAUGUUGGGUUAAGUCCCGCAACGAGCGCAACCCUUGAUCUUAGUUGCCAGCAUUAAGUUGGGCACUCUAAGGUGACUGCCGGUGAUAAACCGGAGGAAGGUGGGGAUGACGUCAAAUCAUCAUGCCCCUUAUGACCUGGGCUACACACGUGCUACAAUGGAUGGAACAAAGGGCAGCGAAGCCGCGAGGUGAAGCGAAUCCCAUAAAACCAUUCUCAGUUCGGAUUGUAGGCUGCAACUCGCCUACAUGAAGCCGGAAUCGCUAGUAAUCGCGGAUCAGCAUGCCGCGGUGAAUACGUUCCCGGGCCUUGUACACACCGCCCGU
rnacentral:rRNA from 1 species